rnacentral:rRNA from 1 species
GUGGGGAAUCUUGCGCAAUGGGCGAAAGCCUGACGCAGCCAUGCCGCGUGAAUGAUGAAGGUCUUAGGAUUGUAAAAUUCUUUCACCGGGGACGAUAAUGACGGUACCCGGAGAAGAAGCUCCGGCUAACUUCGUGCCAGCAGCCGCGGUAAUACGAAGGGGGCUAGCGUUGCUCGGAAUUACUGGGCGUAAAGGGCGCGUAGGCGGACAGCUUAGUCAGAGGUGAAAGCCCAGGGCUCAACCUUGGAAUUGCCUUUGAUACUGGCUGUCUUGAGUUUGGGAGAGGUGAGUGGAACUCCGAGUGUAGAGGUGAAAUUCGUAUAUAUUCGGAAGAACACCAGUGGCGAAGGCGACUCACUGGCCCAAUACUGACGCUGAGGCGCGAAAGCGUGGGGAGCAAACAGGAUUAGAAACCCGUGUAGUCC